rfam:Aphanomyces astaci strain APO3 cont1.409, whole genome shotgun sequence.
UCUCUGGUGUUUUUCAACACCACCCAAUUCCUCGAGAAAGCAUCGU